rnacentral:rRNA from 1 species
UACGUAGGGGUCGAGCGUUGUCCGGAGUUACUGGGCGUAAAGCGUGUGCAGGCGGCGCAUCGCGCCCGGCGUGAAAGCCCCCGGCUCAACCGGGGAGGGUCGUCGGGGACGGGUGCGCUUGAGGGUAUCAGGGGCAGGUAGAAUUCCCGGUGUAGUGGUGAAAUGCGUAGAUAUCGGGAGGAAUACCAGUGGCGCAAGCGGCGCCCUGGUCGUGACCUGACACUGAGCCACGACGGCGUGGGGAGCAAACGGG